AUUGAACGCUGGCGGCAGGCCUAACACAUGCAAGUCGAGCGAGCGGCGGACGGGUGAGUGAUGUCUGGGAAACUGCCCGAUGUAGGGGGAUAACUACUGGAAACGGUAGCUCAUAUCCCAUAUCCUCACAUGUGCCCAGAUGGGGUUAGCUCGUGGGUGGGGUAAAGGCUCACCUCGGCGACGAUCCCUAGCUGGUCUGAGAGGAUGAGCAGCCACACUGGAACGGAGACACGGUCCAGACGCCUACGGGAGGCAGCAGUGGGGAAUAUUGCACAAUGGGCGCAAGCCUGAUGCAGCCAUGCCGCGUGUAUGAAGAAGGCCUUCGGGUUGUAAAGCACUGUCAGCGGGGAGGCGUUACCCGCAGAAGAAGCACCGGCUAACUCCGUGCCAGCAGCCGCGGUAAUAC
rnacentral:rRNA from 1 species